rnacentral:rRNA from 1 species
CUACGUGCCAGCAGCCGCGGUAAUACGUAGGUGGCAAGCGUUGUCCGGAAUUAUUGGGCGUAAAGGGCGCGCAGGCGGCUUCUUAAGUCUGUCUUAAAAGUGCGGGGCUUAACCCCGUGAUGGGAUGGAAACUGGGAAGCUCAGAGUAUCGGAGAGGAAAGCGGAAUUCCUAGUGUAGCGGUGAAAUGCGUAGAUAUUAGGAAGAACACCAGUGGCGAAGGCGACUUUCUGGACGAAAACUGACGCUGAGGCGCGAAAGCCAGGGGAGCGAACGGGAUUAGAUACCCCGGUAGUCCUGGCCGUAAACGAUGGGUACUAGGUGUAGGAGGUAUCGACCCCUUCUGUGCCGGAGUUAACGCAAUAAGUACCCCGCCUGGGGAGUACGACCGCAAGGUUGAAACUCAAAGGAAUUGACGGGGGCCCGCACAAGCGGUGGAGUAUGUGGUUUAAUUCGACGCAACGCGAAGAACCUUACCAGGUCUUGACAUUGAUGGACAGAACUAGAGAUAG